rnacentral:lncRNA from 1 species
AGUCUGGGGAGCAGACUCAGGGUCAGGGAGCUUGGAAUAAGUUAAUGGCUCUAAAUAUGAUUCUGGGUAAGAAUUCCAAGUUAGAAUCUUUCCAACCAUAAGAGUCAUGGCCCUGUGUCAGAGUCUUCUAUGUCUGUGAAUAAAUGAGGGGAGAAGAGGAGGAAGUUUUCAGAAAGAGAUUAGUUCCUGCUAUGAUCUUUAUUUCUACUUUAAAAAAAGUUAUUUAAAACUCACAGAGUAUAAAUUAAUUCAGAUGUAAAUAACCAUUCAGACAACCAGGAAUUUGACAGGCAGAGGUGUCUGCCAACAUGUCCUGAGUAAUUAGCUAGAUUUUUGCACUUUUUUCAUUUGUUGGCAGCACUAGGCAACACUUACUUAUUUCUUCUCUCUGACUGGAUGGUGCUGAUUCUAGGAGUUAAAAAAAAAGACUUUGGGUUUUGGUGGUCAGCCUCUCACACUUUGGAACCUACCUUGGGGGCUCUCCAAGUUCCUGUUCUUUGAAGAUGAUUUCCUGUUCUGAAGGUGAUUUAGCAUUAAGCCUUGGGCCAAGCCACUGACUGAUCCCUGACCCAUUUCUUUUUCUUUGGAGCCAUUUUACUGAGGAUCAUAAUAUCUAUCAACUUCCCACAUCCUUGUGAGAAUUGAUUAAAGAGCCUGAGCUGUGAAGAGGAAAGUGGCCAAAUGAACACAAUUAUGGCUUUUAAGAAAACCCAAAACACACCAAUCGAUUUUCUAAGUUUGGAUCUGCUUCUGCCUCACCUCUGCCAGGAUGUUAGGGCAGCUGAGUAAUUCUCAGGGGCAGAGGCUCCAGCCCUGACACAAAAUGUCAUUAAAUUCACAACAUCUCCAAUCACUUUCUGUCCAAGUCUGACCCCAUGGAUGUGGAAGCACUUUGAAGUUAUAGCAUGUUAUAGAAAUAGGCAUUAUCAAUCACCAUCAUUAUAAGUAUACAUUCUGAAUCAAAAUAAUGGUUAUCUCUCUUCAGGUGACAUGGAAUAUCUGGGGU